rnacentral:tRNA from 1 species
GGGUCUUUAGCUCAGCAGUAGAGCGGCAGACUUCGGUUCAACGAAGAUCCUCUUCGGGUAUUCUGCAGGUCGCGGGUUCAAUCCCCGUAGGACUCU